CGGCCUAUCGAGAUAGAACCCUUGCCUUUUUUGAGUACCGUACCGUUUCCUCGGCAGGCUCGCCUGCCAAUGGGGACCCCAAACCAAACUCUUGUAUAUAAUCGUGCAGUUUAGUCUGAAAAAACAAACAAAAAUUAAAACUUUCAACAACGGAUCUCUUGGUUCUGGCAUCGAUGAAGAACGCAGCGAAAUGCGAUAAGUAGUGUGAAUUGCAGAAUUCAGUGAAUCAUCGAAUCUUUGAACGCACAUUGCGCCCUUUGGUAUUCCUUAGGGCAUGCCUGUUCGAGCGUCAUUUACACCUUCAAGCUCUGCUUGGUGUUGGGUGUCUGUCCCGCCCCCUGGGGCGCGGACUCGCCUCAAAUGAAUUGGCGGCCGGUACGUUGGCUUCGAGCGCAGCAGAAACGCGAACUCGAGGCUGGCGGGCCAGCUCCCAGAAGCUCUUUUAUCUGUUUGACCUCGGAUCAGGUAGGGAUACCCGCUGAACUUAA
rnacentral:rRNA from 1 species